AAGUUGUGGCCGACCCAGCCUUGCGCAGCAGGAGCUGCUUUUGUAACGAAGAACUCAGGUUUUCGUGCCCUCUGAUUACUUGAGACAAGAGUCGUCUGUUGCUCUGCCUUUCAGAGGAAAAAAGCCGAAAAGAUAAAAUGAGUCGACACAAACCCUUGCCAGGAUGCUUGUUGCUCUACAUGCUGUGAGACGUCUGACUUUGAUUGAUAUUUUCAAAGCUUUUUCUCAAUUGUAAGCUCUGCUGUAGGACGUGCUGGGUCGCUGCCCGAGCAGAAUGCUGACGAGGAGCGAAGUCUUUCCCGUCACGCACAUUACAGUAAUUAACUCUGCAUUCAGAGGAUGAAAAGGGGAGUGCAGCUCUUUUGUGAGUUAUGGAGAGAAGCAUGAAGUUACAGAACUGAUGAAACAGCUUAUUACACUCACUCCUUAGCAUGCAAAGGAGCAAACACUUCAGGGUUCACUUCUGUC